rnacentral:miRNA from 3 species
GCGAGGACCCCUCGGGGUCUGAC